rnacentral:rRNA from 1 species
CCAGACUCCUACGGGAGGCAGUAGUGGGGAAUAUUGGACAAUGGGGGAAACCCUGAUCCAGCGACGCCGCGUGAGUGAAGAAGUAUUUCGGCAUGUAAAGCUCUAUCAGCAGGGAAGAAGAAAUGACGGUACCUGACUAAGAAGCCCCGGCUAACUACGUGCCAGCAGCAGCGGUAAUACGUAGGGGGCAAGCGUUAUCCGGAUUUACUGGGUGUAAAGGGAGCGUAGACGGUAAGGCAAGUCAGAUGUGAAAGCCCGGGGCGCAACCGCGGGACUGCAUUUGAAACUGUCCUACUGGAGUGCAGGAGAGGUAAGUGGAAUUCCUAGUGUAGCGGUGAAAUGCGUAGAUAUUAGGAGGAACACCAGUGGCGAAGGCGGCUUACUGGACUGUAACUGACGUUGAGGCUCGAAAGCGUGGGGAGCGAACAGGAUUAGAUACCCCCGUAAU